AAACCGGCAGUGGCAAAACCGUAAAUAUCCGGUCCCUUAAGUGAAACUCUGCGUUUCACUUAAGGAGGUGUCAUGUUCUUACUGGUGCAUGGCAAUAAAACAGUGGCUACAUGCAAAAAUGAAAAUCCACACAGCCAAACGCGACCUGGUUUUUUAAAAUUAGGGUUUAUAGCUACAGUACCAUGUUCAUCAUUUCCAGAUUUUCAGCAAGAACGAAAUGCAACAAAAAUCAAAAAUCGAC
rnacentral:lncRNA from 1 species